UUGAAAUCCAGUCUGUGGCAUGGGACACAAGAAGUGUCACCUAAAACUAUGGAAGGAGAUAGAAAACAAUGGAAGAAGGCUGUCUGAUCAAUUUGAUCUUACAGAGCACAGAAGGAGACCACAGAGCUAUCCAGCCACCAACAUGCUUUCUUCUUCAGGACAGGAGAAGAAAGACCCUGAAGAGUUUCUCCAGAGGAAGGAAUUUUGCCUCAAGAUGAAUCUGUAUUCAAGUCUCACUGAUUUAAAUGAUGCUUAGAUGAGACAUUAAAUGUCAGAGUGGAUGCUGGGAUGAGUAAAGACUUUUGGGUCUGUCAUGAC
rnacentral:lncRNA from 1 species